AUGAGGAAACCCAGAGGAGAACUGCAGGAGGUGCAGAAGGAGACGAGGAUCCACGCUGAGCAGCCUCAGCCUAUGUGAGCUGUGACUCUUGGACUUAGGAAUAGCUGGAAAGGGGCACGACAGGGGGCUGCAAAAUCAUGAGCAGCUUGGAAAAGCACGAAGUGGGGUUUUCCAAAGGGAGCCAGAAGCUCCCUUCUGCUCAGAGCCAGAAGCACAACAGAAACCGGUGGAGUUUUUACACACAGCAGGCAGCUGAUCCGUGAGCUCCCUGCCUGAGGGUUUCUGGGUGCUGGACACUUACACACAGGCUCAAGGAGACAAUGGGCAAGUACUUGGGGAAGGGAGGCUACUUCGGGAGCGCGGUAUUCGUGUGGCGGUUGUCGCUGAGCUGAAAGCACCCCUGGCUCGGGGGACACCCGAGCUGAAACCAGCUGAAAGCAGGAGAGCGCUUUGGGGCAAAUGCCUGAUGUGGUCAUCUUGUUAAUGGUCAUCUCAUUAGCGUCCCUGGUCGCCUCUCGUGGCUGCUGUUGGGGGGGAUGGUGGGGCUGGGCGGGCUGUUGGCCUGACCUGGUGCCGAUUCCCGUGCUCGAGUUCAGCAGUGUUGUCAGGAGCUGGCCCCAAAAACCUUUGUUUUCUUAAUAUACAAAAUUCCUAGCAAUUACCAGCAGUGUAACAUGCAAGAACACCAACUCUGUAAUAACUACACAGAAGAUAAUUAUUUUGCUCGUUUUCACAACAAGCCGUUGCACGUAGGCAGUGCUCAUUUACUUUGUUGUCUUUGUUUUGAAGAAGCUCCCUGGACCGAGAGUCCUAAAGCUCAGGCUUUUGGAGCGAGAGUAACUCUGGUUCUGCAGACAAGUUGCCAACUUCUCGAGCGAGAAGAGGAGACCAUACCCUUGGGGAAAACAGCUUCUGCUGCUCUGUCCAUCCGUGUCUGCAUCUGCCGACCGCUGGAGCACCUACCGUUGGUCUGGAUGGAGAUGGUUGGGCUUGGGCAGACACCGCGGCUCCAGCUGACGCUCGCUUUGCAUCAUGGACAAGUUGUCACUGGGACGAGUGCCUGCUCGGUGGGGAAGGUUAAGCUGGAUUCCUCCAUGGCUGUAGCAAACCCAGCUGGGGACGAGCCCAGCAGGUGGGAGCUGGGGCUGAGCCACCAGCCAGAGCUCGGGGAUGGCCCGUGAGGAUGGACCUAGCAGAGGUACCAGCCUGGGAGAGCGAGGGAGGGCUGGGAGCGAGUUGGUUUCUGUGAUAGAGUGUGUCUCCCUUGCCAGAGGGAUUUGCAGGGCAGCUGGAGGCAGGAGAAGAUAUCUAAGGCUGUCUGAGGCAACCUGGUGGCUCUGUGCUGAGCUUCUCUGCAGCUGCCAGGGAGGCCGGAGGCAGGCUCCUUCCCAGCAAGCGCUGCCCUGACCCUGGCCUGGGUGGGAAGGACGUUGUCCCCUAAUGCUGCUGUGAUGGUAGCGGGGGGUUUGCCUGGCAGCUCCCGGCCCAGUGGGGCUGGGGGACAGGAGCAAGCAUGGUGCGCUCUGCCCCCCCGAAGCCGGGAGGUGUGGGCAGAGCAAAGCUGUGGGUGGGCUUCAAGCCUCGGUGAACGCAUUUUAACAAAUGAUUGUCCUUAACCUCACCCCCUCCAA